rnacentral:rRNA from 1 species
UACGUAGGGCGCAAGCGUUGUCCGGAAUCAUUGGGCGUAAAGAGCUCGUAGGCGGCCUGUUGCGUCCGCUGUGAAAUCCCGGGGCUUAACCCCGGGCGUGCAGUGGAUACGGGCUGGCUGGAGGCAGGCAGGGGAGAACGGAAUUCCCGGUGUAGCGGUGAAAUGCGUAGAUAUCGGAAGGAACACCUGUGGCGAAAGCGGCUCACUGGACCAUUACUGACGCUGAUGCACGAAAGCUAGGGGGAGCAAACAGG